GCUCAAAGGAGAGAGCUGCUUGCAAUCUUUCACCUGGUUUUGUUUUCCCCCAUGCACAGCAAUAAAAACCCCCGAUCUGCUUAUUCUCUACCUCUAGGCAAACGUCUUCAGUUACCUAUGGGAAGGGUCUCUUUAUUUCUUUUCCCCUGUCUGCUGCUCCUUCUCCUCCCUUCUGGCCAUCUCUUUGCCUUGGCUGCUUGAAUGUUUGCUCUCUCACUGUGCUGGCUCUCCACCUUUCCCCCCUGGGACAUUUCUUUUGGCUUGGUUUCCCUUUAGAGAAUCAUAACAUGUAGCUUCCGUUCCUGACUUUGCAGCUCCUGGUUACUCAGCUUCUGUGGUGCAGUGUCUAUCUGUGAAUGACCCUCCUCCCUUCUUCCCUGGCCUUUUCAACUCCCCUGUGUGAAUCACCCUGACUGAGGAGGGGGGGAGAAAGGAAGACCUUGGCAUUACUAACCCUUUAUGGAGAAUGUCACCAUUAUCCCAACCCAGUGGUGAGAGGAUGAAGAUCCAGUCAUCUGGCGAGUCAGGAUCCAAUCAGCUAAUACCUGUGGACUGAGGACAUGGAUCACCUCAGGUUGACUUGAGUCUCUGCUGGGCACUUCAAACUGUAUUUCCUAAAUAAAAGACUUCUAGGCUGAGUACUUAAUUAUAUGGGAAGAAUUGCUCUUUGUGAUCAGAGAUGUUGUCUCUGAGGAUCAAAUUUACCAAGCAGGCCAGAGCCCCACCCUCCAGGAUGCUCAGGACUUCCACGGGGCCAAGAGAACGGAUACACUAUGCAGGAGGUGGUCACUCCCUGGAAAUGGUCCCUGGCUCCCGGCUUGGCGACUUCUCCGCUUCCAGCCGCUUCUUCCAGGAGGAGCUAAACCAUUUCUGCAUUACUUCCCUGAUCAGAGGAAGAUGGGGCAAAUUUGAGGCAUAUUCCCAGCACGGUACAAAAAAUGGACCUUG
rnacentral:lncRNA from 1 species